rnacentral:RNase_P_RNA from 1 species
GGAGUCGGCCGGGCAGCCGCCGCCGCAGCAAUGCGGGGGAGGAAAGUCCGGGCUCCGCAGGGCAGGGUGCCAGGUAACGCCUGGGCGGCGCGAGCCGACGGAAAGUGCAACAGAGAGCAGACCGCCGAUGGCCCCGACACGACGUGUCAGGGCACAGGCAAGGGUGAAACGGUGCGGUAAGAGCGCACCGCGAGUCCGGCAACGGACCGGCACGGCAAACCCCACCUGGAGCAAGACCAAAUAGGGAAGGUGUACGGCUCGUCCGUACGACGCGUGGCCCGCGUGCCUUCCGGGUAGGUUGCUGGAGCGCGGCGGUGACGCCGCGCCUAGAGGAAUGGCUGCCGUGGGCGCGCAAGCGUCCGGCACAGAACCCGGCUUACAGGCCGGCUCCCACC